rnacentral:piRNA from 1 species
UACUACUUAAUACCACAGGCUUGGAUU